rnacentral:rRNA from 1 species
UACGUAGGGUGCGAGCGUUGUCCGGAAUUAUUGGGCGUAAAGGGCUCGUAGGCGGUUUGUCGCGUCGGGAGUGAAAACCAUGGGCUUAACUCAUGGCUUGCUUCCGAUACGGGCAGACUAGAGGUAUGCAGGGGAGAACGGAAUUCCUGGUGUAGCGGUGAAAUGCGCAGAUAUCAAGAGGAACACCUGAGGUGAAGACGGGUUGCUGGGCUGACACUGACGCUGAGGCGCGAAAGCUAGGGUAGCAAACGGG